CUUCCCUCAUUUACAGAUGAAACAAAGACUUAAGCCUGAAGAUACUUUACUGUCUAGCGUCACUCAGCUUACAAGUGGCAGACAUAGAACUGAGAAGUCUUCCUACUUUCCCUUUCACUGUAGGAACCCUUGUCAUCUGUAGGGGAGCUCUACAGAUUCCUAUCAGAACCUGGCUGCUGUAUUUACCAUGUACCUGGAGCAUUGGUUUGGCAGCUGAACCAGGUUGUUUUCCAGAUUGGUACAUGCUCUCCCUCUUUGGCACUGGAGCUAUUCUGAUGCGUGGAGCAGGCUGUACUAUUAAUGACAUGUGGGACCAGGACUAUGAUAAAAAGGUUACAAGAACAGCCAAUCGUCCAAUAGCCGCUGGAGACAUUUCAACUUUUCGGUCCUUUGUUUUUCUUGGGGGA
rnacentral:sRNA from 1 species